rnacentral:rRNA from 1 species
UGGGGAAUUUUGGACAAUGGGCGAAAGCCUGAUCCAGCAAUGCCGCGUGUGUGAAGAAGGCCUUCGGGUUGUAAAGCACUUUUGUCCGGAAAGAAAUCCUUGGCUCUAAUACAGUCGGGGGAUGACGGUACCGGAAGAAUAAGCACCGGCUAACUACGUGCCAGCAGCCGCGGUAAUACGUAGGGUGCAAGCGUUAAUCGGAAUUACUGGGCGUAAAGCGUGCGCAGGCGGUUUGCUAAGACCGAUGUGAAAUUCCCGGGCUCAACCUGGGAACUGCAUUGGUGACUGGCAGGCUAGAGUAUGGCAGAGGGGGGUAGAAUUCCACGUGUAGCAGUGAAAUGCGUAGAGAUGUGGAGGAAUACCGAUGGCGAAGGCAGCCCCCUGGGCCAAUACUGACGCUCAUGCACGAAAGCGUGGGGAGCAAACAGGAUUAGAUACCCUGGUAGUCCACGCCCUAAACGAUGUCAACUAGUUGUUGGGGAUUCAUUUCCUUAGUAACGUAGCUAACGCGUGAAGUUGACCGCCUGGGGAGUACGGUCGCAAGAUUAAAACUCAAAGGAAUUGACGGGGUCAUAGCUGUUUCCU